GAAAUGGUACAGAAUUUCCUGGGGAAGUGGGAAGUUUGGAGGCCUCUCUCCUGCCCCUCCCUCAACCUGGAUACCAGGCUUACCCCCAGCUCCAGCAGGUCAGGGGACCACAGACUUGUCCUUUGUCUCUUAGUCUCCCUCCUGACUCCUCUGGGGUAGCUAGGAGUUUGUUGGGCCUCCUUCCUGACACAUACUUGCACACUUUCCACCAUCAA
rnacentral:lncRNA from 1 species